UAGCUCAAUCGGUAGAGCGUGAGACUCUUAAUCUCAAGGUUGUGGGUUCGACCCCCAC
rnacentral:tRNA from 1 species